CACGCCCUUGGGUGCGCACGGAGUCCAAAGGCCCAUCUGGAGAGAUUCUGCCUGAGCUAGUUCUCCCUCUCAAGGCCCUCAUCCGGAUUCUUGCCUGUCUGCUUGCCCACAUGGGGAUUUCGGGGUUGAGGGUCUCACCCCUCCGACUUCUCCCGGCUGGUCCCUCCGCUCAGGGCACAGCGCGCCACACGCGGACGCGAGCGCGAGCAGCCAGGACCCGCGGGAGAAGUCGGUCCUCACUUCUCUGGCCGCUCCUCUGCGUCCGCUGGCACUAAAACCCCACCAAGGGGGCUGGGCCGGGGGAUGCAGACGCUAAGGUGGACUGGGGGUGGGGGUGCUCCUCUCAAGGUGCCCAGACGCGCGACUGGCCGGAGAGGCUGCACGCGCGCCCACCCGGCCUCUGCUCUCCCACCUGGGGCUAGCCUCCUCCGCGACGGCGAGGCGCGCAGCUCCCAUCCCAACCCCGACCCCGAGUCCAGCCCGAGGAGCAGUCCGUUCCCGGUCAGAGCCUUCCAGAGCCCAGGGGCCCCCAGCCUUGCUGGGAGGAUGCACCCAGCCUACGUCCUGCCGGCGCCUUCCCAAACCACCGCCACACUCGCUUUCACACCCGCUGGAAGAGUGACGCGUCCGGGCAGAGCGCUUUAUUAGCAUGGAAGAAUUCACCUUCAGAAGAUUGGAAACUUUUCUUUUUGGUUAUACAGGUUUGCAACGUUAAAAGUCAAUUCUUCGCUUAAUUUUGUCUUUGAAGGAGUUACCCUAAUUUAUUGAGAUGAUGAAUUAAAAUUGUCUCCAUUUCUCCUCUUUCCACAAAUUAAAAUGAUAACCAAACUUGGCAUCAUUGUUUCCUUGAUAAAAGCUUUCAGUUACAUGUGAGCUAAGUUGAAGUCUACUCCCUCCAUCCCAACCACACAAGCACAGUUUUCACUCUGACACUCCAAUAAUGCACUUAGUUUAAAAUUACACUUGGACCUUUCCUCCUUUGUAUUUUUUCAUUUACUUCAGUGCAACAAGAUGACUUGAUUUUCUUGGGAUUACAUGAACUCCAUUCAGUGUUACUGGGACAUUUCUGGUCAACUAAAUACUUGCCUUAAUAGACAAAUGAACUCCUUUUUAUUUGCUGGAGUUUGUAGACAGUUUUAGAUACAGAGCGUGCAACUGAUUUAGUUAUUGUUGUUGUGAGAAUCGAACAGGCACAAAAGUCAUUUAUCUAAACCAAAGAGAUAUGACUCUGUAAAGGGGAG
rnacentral:lncRNA from 1 species